UACGUAGGGUGCGAGCGUUAAUCGGAAUUACUGGGCGUAAAGCGUGCGUAGGCGGUUUGCCGUGUCCUGUGUGAAAGCCCCGGGCUCAACCUGGGAAUUGCAUGGGAAACUGGCAGGCUUGAGUGUGGCAGAGGAGGGUGGAAUUCCGCGUGUAGCAGUGAAAUGCGUAGAGGUGCGGAGGAACACCGAUGGCGAAGGCAGCCCUCUGGGCCAACACUGACGCUCAGGCACGAAAGCGUGGGGAGCAAACAGG
rnacentral:rRNA from 1 species